CUCCUCAUGGUGUAGUUGGCUAUCACGUUCGACUGUAACUGUAGAAAAUUAUCUAUCGAAAGGUCACCGGCUCGAUUCCGGUUGAGGAGA